UGGGGAAUAUUGGACAAUGGGCGCAAGCCUGAUCCAGCCAUGCCGCGUGAGUGAUGAAGGCCCUAGGGUUGUAAAGCUCUUUCACCGGUGAAGAUAAUGACGGUAACCGGAGAAGAAGCCCCGGCUAACUUCGUGCCAGCAGCCGCGGUAAUACGAAGGGGGCUAGUGUUGUUCGGAUUUACUGGGCGUAAAGCGCACGUAGGCGGACUUUUAAGUCAGGGGUGAAAUCCCGGGGCUCAACCCCGGAACUGCCUUUGAUACUGGAAGUCUUGAGUAUGGUAGAGGUGAGUGGAAUUCCGAGUGUAGAAGUGAAAUUCGUAGAUAUUCGGAGGAACACCAGUGGCGAAGGCGGCUCACUGGACCAUUACUGACGCUGAGGUGCGAAAGCGUGGGGAGCAAACAGG
rnacentral:rRNA from 1 species